AUUGAACGCUGGCGGCAGGCCUAACACAUGCAAGUCGAGCGGAGCGGCGGACGGGUGAGUAAUGCCUAGGAAUCUGCCUGGUAGUGGGGGAUAACGUCCGGAAACGGGCGCUAAUACCGCAUACUAUCAGAUGAGCCUAGGUCGGAGUAGCUAGUGGGUGGGGUAAAUGCCUACCAAGGCGAUGAUCCGUAACUGGUCUGAGAGGGUGAUCAGUCACACUGGAACGGAGACACGGUCCAGACUCCUACGGGAGGCAGCAGUGGGGAAUAUUGGGCAAUGGGCGAAAGCCUGAUCGAGCCAUGCCGCGUGUGUGAAGAAGGUCUUCGGAUUGUAAAGCUCUUUAAGUUGAGAGGCGUUACCAACAGAAUAAGCAGCGGCUAACUUCGUGCCAGGAGCCGCGGUAAUUC
rnacentral:rRNA from 1 species